GACGAACGCUGGCGGCGUGCUUAACACAUGCAAGUCGAACGGUGAAGGGACCGGUUUUUGCUGGUUCUGGAUGAGUGGCGAACGGGUGAGUAACACGUGAGUAACCUGCCCCCUUCUUCUGGAUAACCGCAUGAAAGUGUGGCUAAUACGGGAUAUUCUGCGCCUGCUGCAUGGUGGGUGUGGGAAAGAUAUUGUUUCGGUGGGGGAUGGGCUCGCGGCCUAUCAGCUUGUUGGUGGGGUGAUGGCCUACCAAGGCGGUGACGGGUAGCCGGCCUGAGAGGGUGGACGGUCACACUGGGACUGAGACACGGCCCAGACUCCGACGGGAGGCAGCAGUGGGGAAUAUUGCACAAUGGGCGCAAGCCUGAUGCAGCGACGCCGCGUGAGGGAUGGAGGCCUUCGGGUUGUAAACCUCUUUCGCCAGUGAAGCAGGCCUGUCCCUUGUGUGGGUGGGUUGACGGUAGCUGGAUAAGAAGCGCCGGCUAACUACGUG
rnacentral:rRNA from 1 species